UUGAACUCUUCCCAAAUAUACAAGGGCUAGGGCUUCGUUCUCUCAUAUCUGUUUCUACGCUCAAGAAUCGCUCAAAAUAUGCUUUUGCUCUACGAUCUAUGCUGCUGACAAGCCGAUUGGUCUUUGAAUGAGUUGAUUUUAGCCGCUGAACGAGAUUAAGUAGUUUUUCCUUCCUAAUUUCUUUCUUAAUCGGCACACAUGGAGGUGACUUUCAAGGAACCACAUGUAAAAUUAGGUCGUCUGUCACCAGAACUUUGAGAGCACUUUCUCUAUCGAUGAGUUCUUGUCCGACCGAUGGAAGAUAUCCUCCAACAUCAUCUGCUCCUCCGGAACCCCUCCAACAUCUAUCCUUGUUACUUGUGAAGGUUAGUUCUUCUUUCGUUCUAAAAUCAUUUGAUUAUUUGAUUUUAAAUAAUGUGAACCUACUAACUGAUUUUACCUUAUUAGGGAAUAUGAUUUAACAUGUUUAGAACUUAUUUGUUAAGUUAUUAAGCAUUUUUAAUUUGGAUGAGAUCUUAUUUCCAUCUUGUUUUCUUAUGAGAAAGGUCAAGGAGCACACUUCUACUUUCCCAUGAAAAUGCCCAGUUAAGAAUUUAAUAUUUUUUUCUUGUCCUUAUAGCUUGGUUAUUUGUAUGUUGCAUUGAAGGAUUCCUUAGUAAAAUAGAUGCAUUAUGAGCUUCAAGAGACCAACAAACAAUGUGAUUCAACAUUAGUUUCUACGAAUCUUACCAUGGCUUCUUUGGGAAGCCUUUAAUAGGUACAAAUCUUUAUAUCAAAUUUCAAAUGUUUGAUAAAAAAAUGGAAUCUUUGUUAUCUAUUUACUUGUUAUGGUCUGUUGUUUAGUCGUUUUUGUGGAAAUUGACCAUGUCUAAAAUAAAUAUGUUAAAAGAAAGGUCAGGUUAUGCAUAAUGGUAAUUUAAACUGAACAAAUUUCACAAUUUUACUUUCUAUCAUAACCACCAAUGUUCAUUAGCCCACCUGUUGUUCAGUGGACCUCAGGUUAAUGCACAAGUUCACAAGACACAAUGAAUACAACCACAACCGUUUUAGUUUUUUGAACCAGGAGUUUCAUAUGAGUUGCUAAAACUUAACCCUAAAUUCGAACUUUUUGAUCAAGAACUUGUAGGUAAUGAAAAAUAUGUCAUUCUUCUUUUUCCAUUACAUUUUUUACGUUACAAAUCAUACAAAGAUACGUAAUUCCAAGAAACUGAUGAAGCAAGAUAGAAGUAAUUUUCAUUCAUGAACAACUUCAAGAAGAGAGCAAUAACGGUGAAAAGAGAUUCAAAAUUUAGGGUUUUUACCUUUAUUCCCUUCCGUUUAUUCUUUUCUAAUUAAAAAUUGACAAAAAUAUACAUCAUAAAUGGAUUGGUUGGACAGUAGUAGAUGCAUCUACAGGAAGAAGGGUCAAAAACUGCUUAAUAGUACGUUAUCAAAUAAUAGUUUUUUUAAGUUAUUAUGCAGAUUGGAGCAGUUGUGGUUGGACAUGAUACAAAUGUAAACUAUGAAAAAAUACAGUAAGAUACCCCAUUUACUCAUUUUAAUAACAUCUUAUAUACCUAGUGUUCUUGAAUUAUAUCUAUUUUUUGAAGUUAAAUUUAUAAAAAGAUGUAAGUGGUGAGUAAUUUGCAGGUAUGCAACUCUUUGCAUUCGUGAGAAUCCAAGAUGCAUUUUCAUUGCUACUAAUAGCGAUAUCACUAUCAAUAUGAUUGAUUUACAACUCUUUGGGUGUGAAGGUUUGACUUUGUUGAUUUAAGGGUCAUAUGGUAAUUAAGUGUAAUGUGUUGCAUUGUUAGGUGUUGGGUGCAUGGUUGUUGCUGUUUGUGGGGCAGCAGAGAAAGAGCUAAAUGUAUUUGGAAAACACCAACCUUUUUGAUGGAUUUAUUACAAAAGAUGUCAUUUUUGUACUAGUGGGGAUUGUUCGAGGGAGCAGUGGCGGCGCUUACGCCAGCCACCUUGAGGAUUACUGAUGGCCUCCAGGGCAAGGCGGAGGCUCCUGUGGCAAAGAACAAGGUUUUUUAACCGACCACCGAUGAGGCCCGUGCAGCGUCGGAUGUGGUUACUGGUGUUACAUGUUUGCAAAAGAAAUCAAAUAUAAAAUGGCGAUCCAAAAUAUGUUACUAACGCCAGUGCGUUAGUCUUCAGAAGUAGUUGCUACCUGGCUAGCGGUUUCCUGUGAAUACAAGUUAUUUCAAAGAAAAAAUGUCAACAUUUAAGUUGGUGAGUUCAUAAGUAGUGUUUUGAGAAGAUGUAUGCCAUUCGAAAGUGUUUGCAUGUUUUCCAGAAAAACCCUUAUUUUCCCUAUAAAAGUAUGAGAUGCAUAUGGAUGUUCAUGAUGUAAAUUGCAACUAUUUGUACCGAGAAAAUCCCUUAUUUUCCUAUUAGUUGUUUGUUUUGUAUACAGGAAAAACCCUUAUUUUCCUGACAUAACUGGCAGUCUUGAAGACCGAAAAUUGCAAGCAAGCGACGUGCUUGUAAGUCGUGUCAUAGUUUUACAUAGUAAAGCUAUACGAAAAUCACCCUUAUUAAAUGAAGAGUAGUUUUAAUGACUACUUGUUCAUAAAAGCAUAAUACCAUAAUAAUUGUAUAUCCGAUGAGUUUUAUAACCAUACUAAACAUAAUAUGCCUGUAGCGACGUUCUUCAGGCGUCGUAGCGUUAUGACAACUGUCACCCCAAAAGACGGACUGUAGCUAACAGUCAGGGCGCGGGAUCAUGACUUCCCGUAUAGAUCUAUACACAUUUGACACGUUCUCCGAACGGGAGACUCUGGUUAUAGACAGGACUUGUAGCAUUAUUUUCUAAUAAAGAAAGUAACGUUUGAAGAUAUACACGACUCAUGGAUUCUCAACUAAGUCCAUAAUAAGGUAGUAGUUUGUAUGCAAAGAUUAACCUCUUUCACAAUGUUUGACAAAGCAUAAUCAUAAGUUCUUUGAAUGCAUGAAAUGACUUAGUAAAGAAUGUUACCCUUGAUAUGAUGUGUUUGUAUGUAAACGUAUAAAUAAAACAUAUUUCUAUUUAUAAACAUAUUAUAUCCCAAAGAGGGUAAAGCUGUGUUGUGAGGGGUUUUGUAUCAUAAUAACUUCACAAGAUAGUUAAAACAACAGUAUGAACAGUAUAUCAAAAGGUUAAUGUUUCACACGAAUUUAGUCAUGUGUUAACUUGUAUUCCUCCCCAAAAAGAGUAUAAAACAUUUAAAAUGUAUUUAAAGAGUGUUCAAAGGGGAUAUGAACUCACUUGAUAGUUUGAAGAUUGUGAGGUGGAAAACCGAGCAGAGUUUCGUCUCGGGAAACUGAUUUUUCUUGGGAUUCUCGGGAAUCUCGGGAGUAGAAUCGGCCUUCGGGACUUGAGCCAAAAAGACCAGAGCUUCGGGUUUGAACGGACACGGAAAACGAGGAAAUGCUGAGAGAGAGAGAAGAGAAAUGAACCCUUUCUUUGGAAACCCUCGCAUUCUAUUUAUAGGAAGGCAGGUCUGCCUCGGUACGCGGGGCGUACGCUCGUACGCGCUGCGUACGCGUACGUCAUGCAUGACCGAAGCCUCGACUGCCUCGGUUCGGAUGGGACGGGUUCUUGGGUUCUCGGGUCGGAUGGGACGGGUUGCUGGGGAGGUGGGUCGGAUGGGACGCCGGGUCGGAUGGGACGUCGGGUCGGACGGGUCGGCUUCCUCGGAUAUGGCGACGUGGACGAUCCGAGGCCAAUCCUCUCGGUUACGCGGGGCGUACAGGAGUACGCAGCGCGUACUUCGGAGAAGGACGCUGACUCCUCUUCGGAUAAUAUCCGAAUUUUGAAUUAAAUAAAUAAUUAAUUUAUUUAAUAAACUUCAAAAAUCCAUAUCUUCUUCAUACGAACUCCGUUUUCGAUGGUCUUUAUAUCCACGCGUAGGUGAGACUACGAUCUACGACUUUCGUUUAGACUCCGUUGGCAAAUUCCAAAAUUAUUUUUAUUAUUUAUUUUAUAACUAAUCGUUUUUAAGGAAUUUCUUUGAAAAAUCAUAACUUCCUCAUGCGAAGUCAGAUUUGGACGUUCUUUUUGUGUACGCUCACGGUUUAAUGUUAUCUAUGACUUUCAUUUAGAUACCUAAGGCUAAAUGUUAUCGUAUUGAAACUUUGCGUUUUUCGUUUGAUCGGUGUUGUCGGUUUUGACAGAAAUCUUAGAAUGGUCAUAGCUUCUUCGCCAUAACUCAGAUUUUAGUGUUCUUUAUUUAUUUGGAACCUUUAAGACGAUAUCUACUACAUAGCGUACUCCAAAUCAGAGCUUUUGAACAAUUCAUUUAUCGAUGAUAUUCCCAUUACAUUCAAAAGGGGUUACAAGACUCGGUUUAUAAUGCCCGGGAUAACGGGUUGUUACAUUUUUGGGUUGAACUGAUAUGUUUAGGGAAAGAUUACGAUCCUUUGACGCCUGUGGUUGCAUUCUCACAACGGUUUUUCUCAAAUGAUGUGGAUGAUUAGUCCUUGUUACCAUUUGGUAAACAUGUACAACCUCUUAUGUAAGUGUUAUCAUGCUUGAUUUGUAAAAAAGGUUCUAAUAGUUUUUUUCAUAGUCAACUUCCUUCACUUCAUUGAUAAUGUUUUAGAAACAACUACAUUGUUUGGUGAGUAAAGAAAGAGAGAUCACUACAUCAUUGCAUAAGCCAUGGCCUAUCUCUUGUGCUGACUUGAUGGAUUUUGAUUAUCCUUUUGGAGUUUGAUGACAUUGCCCUUGCCUUGGAUGUAUCUUAUUUGGACCUUUUUCCCAGCUCUAGAGGUGAUGGUGCGAACUACACGCACUCCAGGUAUAGAGGAUGACUCAUCCAUCCUGAACUCUUGGGACACCAACUCCAUCUUAGUGAAAAUUUGUGGCCCUAAUCGCAUGCUCCUUGGUGGGGUAUAGUUGACUAUGGGUUUGCACGUAGCUAGACCCAUUCUUUUUCAAAUGCCUAGUCUUUUGCCUCAGAGCUUUCCACUUGCAUACAACAAGUGUGGUGAUUUUUGGUGUUUCCCCUGUGGGCGGCUUGGCUGAGUCUAACCAUCUCAUGUUUCCCAUUAAGUAUGCUCAUGCUUGGACUUUGCUCCACUUUGUUGGUGGUUGCACCAAAGUUUGGUGCUUGCAACGACAUGUUUGCAAUCCCAAUUAGGGAUAUUGCUUUUUCCCCUUGUAUCGUAUUGAAGGGUAUUCCUUUGACGUCUGGCCUUAGGUCCUGACGAUGGAGCUGAGGCAUUAUUGGUAGUUCUCCGACCUAGGAUUUUUUCGACCCUGAUGGAUGCUUACCUAUCAUCCUCCUAAUGAAACGGGCGGGGUGACUAGAGGGAAAAUGGCUCUACCUGGGGUGAUCGGAGGUGGCCCUCUAGUGUUAAUACCCCAUUGACCGAUGGUUAUUGGUCAAAGUCAUGGCGUGUUGUCGUAUAGAAGGAAUGAGCACCUGGUAUUCUAGGCAUUGCUCAGCAGCAACUUCCAGGAUUUCGGUCUUGUCUUUGAGUGCGAUGGGCUAACGUUCUCCUAGGAAAGACAUCAUUACGUCAAUGGCUCUUGGGCCUCCUUAUUUUGGUUCGUUUUCUUGAUUCUUUUCUACAGGAAAGUAUCUUUCUUUUCCUUGCUGCACCUUCUUUAUUGUGAGUCGUGCAAUUUUUAUGUUGGCCCUCUUGUCGUUUGGGGGAUCGCUUGGAUCUAUUGGAUAUUUAUGUGGCAUUGGUGAUCUAUUAUGUGUCGACGUCUCUUCCCUAGAGAGCUUCAGUUGGUACCUUCUUGGUUUGGUUGUCGAAAGGUGCUAAGGGCAGCCUGUUCAGAGUGUCAGUAUCUACGACUUUCUCUCAGGGAUCUUCUCGACUUUCGGAUCCCCAAUGGAUCGUGUCAAUUCUUGCUCUACGUUUUGGUAUCUUCCGCCCUUCUGAUUUCUAGCUAUAUGGGUGACAUCAACCCUAUCAGUUCCUAUUCCAAGUCUUUCUUUGUUUGUUGUUUCAUUUUCCAGUGAGGGGCUUUUAAAUCUUGCUCUAAUUCAAAGUGAUUUCUACUUGGUCAUCCAAAUAUUGACCCUUCCCCUCCUUUAGAAUGAACUCAUCUGGACUUGGCAUUGUCUGUCUUCUCGUGGUAUUGUGGAGUAGAACUGCCUCGCUAAGGUCAAGGUACUCGAUGCGCUUUCGCUGUGGCUUGCCAUGUUUUCUUGUUGCCAUUCGGUUUGUAACCGGCUAGGGAGAUCGGUUCCCUAGGAGUGCUUCCACCCACUGGCCUUACGACUUUAGGUUUUGUUGUCAUGUUUUUCUCAUCUAUUUGCCCCCCUUUUUGUUUAUCGAUUGAGGCUUGCGCUAGCCUUGGGACAGCUCGGGUCUGGUAGUAACAGCGUGCGCUUAGGCUGAAGGCAACAAUAGUGGUUAAUCCAGUGCUCAUGCUAAACUUCAGAGUGUCGUGAAUCGUUGAUAGUAUGGCUUGUAGUUAGAAAAGCGUCGGUUGCCCGAGCAGAAUGUUUUGUUUUGUUGGGGAGCGUACUACUGAAAACCUUAUCGCACAUGUGACCUAGUCUUUCCCGUUAUUACUAGUUAUAGUAAGAGGGAGAUAUAUCGUUCCUACCGGCCAUAAGUUAUUCCCUAAAAACCUUGUGAGGGGACCAAUGGUUAGAGGCGUUAAGAUUUCCUUCUAGGAGGCCGAAAAUUAUUGGAAACAAUUCUCUUAGAGGAUGUUGGUGCCGCUGCCAUUGUCUAUGUAGACACGGUUGACUUGUAUUUGACAUAUGCAGGCGGUUAUCAAGAGCGGAUUCCUGGGGUUCUAGCCUAGCAUCCUCGGAUCUUCUGACGAAAAACUAACAUUGAGGAUAUUUUUAGGGAGUACCUCAAUGUCGUCAUUCAUUUCACAGCACUCAUUCCUCUUAAUGGGCCUCGUGAUGGUAAGGAUCUCCUCCUUAACUUGGCGCUUGCUGACAUCUUUCCAAUCUUGGGCAUUCUUCUGGUCAGCGUCAAACUUGGACCUCAAAUCCUUUACAAUUUCCAUUAGGUCGCCCGUUAGAUGUUUGUCAUCCAUUUCCUUCCUCGAAUCAUGCACUUGCCGUAUCAUGGAUUUUGCUCUUGUGGUACUUACAAAAUUUUCCUUUCUCUUUGUCCACCUUUGGAGGUGUUUUCUCAACUACAUGCACCUCAGUUCAGUGGCUUCUACGCUCAUCUUUACGAAAUGGACGAAACCUGUUAGGUGGGUGUCUUGAGUGCCGGUUGUGCUUGUCCUGGUGGUCUCGGUGGUUGAGGCUUACGCGGGAGUUUGCUUCUUCUUUCUUGAUGUACACAUUUGUUACAGGCUUUAGGUUAGUGUCCUUCCAUUCCUCAGCCUUGAUCUGUCGGAGAUAUUUCUUGACUUUGUAUUUGAGCUCAUCUCUCAACUAAGGUGACAUCCCCUUCAUCUUCUUUGACAAAGUCGGGGACUAGACCUUGAGCGAAGUUUCCAGUUAAAAGGAACUCUUCAUGCCCCAGACGUUGAGCGUCGCUAGCGUGAAUCUAUUGUAAUAUGCCCGUAUCGACUCUCCUUCAUUUUUCAUACAUGCCAUUAUAGAGUUUUCAUCUCCCUUCCCUUUCCUCAAUUGCAUGAAAUUGUUGAGGAAAAGGAAUCAUAACUACUCGAAACUCGAGAUGUUGCUCGGUCACAGCACCUUGAACCAUUUUCUGGCGUUUCCUAAUAACGUAAAAUGGAAAUACGUACAAAUGAACGGCUUGUCCAUCCUCAGUGAUGUCAUUGUCCAUUCAUUGGUGACGAUGUGCUCAUCGGGGUCGGUUGUGUCGUCAUACUUGGGGAUGUUUGGUAUCAUCCCCUAGUGUGGGAUCUCAUGCUACAAGAGCUCCUGAAAAAAAACAGAGUUGGUGCUUCUCAUCGGAUUUUCCUUGAGAGAGUAUGGAAAACGACUGUACAUCAUAAACUAUUAAGAGAAAUACAGGUUCCUAUAUGCUUGGUUGUACAUUGCUGCUUGAAAGAUGUAUGGUUGCUGCUGGGAGCUCGAUUGUGUGCUUUGCUGCAGUUGUGAGCUUGCUUCGGGCUUCUAGACCAUGCUCUGAAUUAACCCCUAGGGGUUGGUGAGUGAAGGUAUUGAACUACUGUGCUAAUAACAAGUGAGGGAUAGAUUCUUGCGAUGGUGGUGUUUGGGGGUUGGAUCUGUGCAACUACUAGAAAUAGGGGUUGAACAUUGGAGGUUGUUGAGUGAAAAGCGAAAUAUGUGACAUUCCUGAUACUAGAGAUAAUAGAUAAACUAACAUUAGGUAUUGUGUUGAGGACAAUAUGGUCUUUUCCUAUUGCGGUAGCAAUUGCGGCUGGGAAACCGUCGGUUGCCACUAUUGAGUCGACAGUUGUGACUGUCGGGUCAGUGGUUGCGACUGUCGAGUCGCUGUCGAAUGCAAUGUUGCAUUCGUGGUUGUAACCGACUGCUUUGUUGUGACGGGUGACGGUCACCGUAGGUCGGCGAUUGCGGCCACUGUGGUUCCUAUUAUUAGAUUUGGCAUUUGUGUUGUUGGCGUAUGGGUGGAGGCUUGUCCGUCUGAGGCAGAUUGUUGUGUUCCAUCAAGCGACAACAUUGAUCUGAGUGGGCUCGUUUCUUUCUUGCAAAACUCCGCAGGUGCCUUUCCCGUCAUUGCCUCCAUCUAGGGUCGUUUUAAGGUUAUGUAACUAUGAGUACAUGCCCGGAUGACGCCAACUAUAUUGAUAUGUAUGCAAGCUUAACAUGUGUUUGUGGUGUUUUCGUCUGAGUUAAGCCUGAAAAUCAAAACAAUGAAAGAACUGACAUAUGUCGUCAUCCGGGAGGCAGUCUCGGAAAGAGGCUCCGACAGUCAAGUCAGUAACUAGAUGAGAGAAUUAGGCUUUAGCUUUAGAUAGAGAAAUAGGUGAUCCGGUCUUCUAGAGAAGAAUGAUCUCUUUUGUACCUUUCGUUGAGGGAGGAUGUCCCCAAUAGUACCUUUUGUCUUGUCUGGACCACCAGGACGUUGAGGCGUCCUAUUAGUGGAUCAUACACCACUAGAGGUUAUCUGCUAUUGAUGCAGAACCGUCGACGAGUAGCACUCUGAGCGCUACACUUAUCGAUCUAAGGAAUGGUUGAUAUUGUUUUGGCUUGUUGUGGACCAGAGCCUCUCAUUCUAAAUUUCACCUUGGAACUAGAGCGUCGGGGUCUAAAUGCGAGACCGCGAGGGCGAGGGCCUGGACCUAGCACUUACACUGGGUAGCGACCAUUAAUUAGGUCAUCCUAUAUAUAACUGUCUCAUUUCCCAGAGAGAUACAUUAACACACACACACACACACACACACACACACACAUAUAUAUAUAUAUAUAUAUAUAUAUAUAUAUAUAUAUAUAUAUAUAUAUAUAUAUAUAUAUAACAUUGACCUCCGGGAUCUCUUCUGGACUUUGCUACGGCAGAGAUCUGAACAUCACAGAGCAAAGUUGUUAGAACUGCCCCAAGGACUGUGCCCCAGGAGCAGGCUCCGGCGAUCAGGUUAGAUCAGCUGGUAGAGAUGAUAUUGUUCUCCUUAACUGGAGAGAACCAUCUCGGUGUUGGGGGUAGUGUAUGGAAGUUGUACGAAUGGCAUGUAGUUGAGCCAGAUGGAAGGUCCGAGAUGGUAGAUGAGCCACUGAGAAAAGUCUCUCUCCAAGGAGGAGGCACUAUUCACUUCAUAAGGGUCAAUUAGGUUAAGGGGAAUUAGGUUAGGCCUUGGGCCAGUCCAAUUCAAGACCAUGUAGCAAGGAGCUGGGUAAGGCCGCCCGGAAGCCCUAAACGAGGCUGGCGGGCACACACCUAAUAAAGAUGGAAGGUGAGCAUCGGGCAGGGCUGACAGGAGAGCGUCAGGAAAGACUGACAAGAGAGAGCCAAACAUGGAUAGCAAGGGAGCACUUGGAAAGGCCUCAUGACAUGAGAUCUUAGGAGUCACAUCAUGAGUGACCAUUAACUCGUUGACCAAUAUUUUUGGAGUUUCACGGCGUGAUACAUAAGGUCUCACGACGUGUGUAUGGAUUAAUGACCCUAAACCAUGAUUUUCAAGUAUUUAAUGGAAUGAGAGGCUAGGGUUACCCAUCCUCAGCUUCUCUCACCCUCUAAGCCUCUAGAGACCCUAGAUUUCGUGUCAUAUUGAGUUAUUUGGUAUUUUGCUUAUGGAAAGGAAGGAAAAAGAGAGAAAAAGAAGCAUAUUAGGAAGGAAGUUUCUUGCGAUCUUCAUCAUCAUCAUCUCUCAUCUUGUUUGGACCAUUGUAAGUAUCAAGACUCAAGAUUUACUUCAUUUCAUGUCUAGAUCUAGGUUUUUGGUCCAUUUCCUAUGUUUUGGCUUGAUUAGAAUGGAGUAGAUCCAUAAAGUUAGCAACUUUAUGGAUUCAAAUGGUCUUUUGAGUCUUAUAUCAUUUAGGUCUGGGAUUUUGUGGAGUAAUAGAGCUUGCAUGAGGACUUGAGGCCAUAUUUACAUUUUUAACCUAAAAUGGUGAAGGGACAUACAUGGUGCAUGCAUGUCCAUAAAGAAAGCAUUUUUACGGACCAUUAGAGUCUCCUUUAACUUCUGGAAGGGGUGAAAUUAAGGGCCGAAUGGAUUAAGAACGUUGAAAAGGUGGUUUUGGCUUCAGACUAUUCUCACGACGUAAGACAUAAGGUCUCAUGACGUGAGCAUGAGUCACCAUCCCCGCUGAGUCGUCUAAGUCAGGAGUGAGUCUUGGAAUCAGAUCGGACACAUCUCACGAUGUGACCAAGGAUUGGUCAUGAUGUGAGGUGUUGUUUUGGGCUUUUGGUUCUUAAUGGGCCACUAGUAUCUGACUUUGAGUGUUACUAUAUUUCGGGGCCCGUUUGGAGCAUUAGGUGUUAUUUAGGGUUUUGGGCCUUCUUGGAUUAGGCCCAUGAUGGAUUUUGGGCCCACUUAGGGAGAUGGGUCACUAUUGGGCUUUUUGGUGUUAAUGGGUCGGGCCUUGGUUUUGGGUCAAGUAAGGAAAGGGUAAAAUGGUCUUUUACCAUGGAUAAUGGGUAGGUGAUUUAGAUUCUUGGUUAUAGGUUAAGACCCAAUUAUUAAUUGGGUAUUGUUUGAUGGUGUUAGCGUGGAGAUUUUCCGGAUCAACAGAUCGAUAUUCUAUCUGGGGGAUUCAGUAGCUUGAGGUAAGUUUCCUCACUGUGUUUAGCAGGUCGAAGGCACCAAUGCUGGCACAUGGUUUAUUAUGUUUAGGAUACUUGUUGUCUGUGUGACUCUUGCAUGUGUUAUGCGUUUAUAUGUAUAUCGGGCGGGGCCUAAUGAUAAUAUUGUAUGCUAUUUAUCUUUGCGAUUUCUGCAUGUGUUUAUAUGUUUUUAUGUAUACCAAGUGGGGCCUGAUGUCAGGCAGGGUCUGAUGACUGACAAAUCUGUUCCGAGUGGGGCUCGAUGCCGAGCGGGGCCCGAUGAUGGGCAGGGUCCAUUAUAUGUUUGAUAUAUAUGGUAUGUGCUAUUUUUGGGAACUCACUAAGCUUUGUGCUUACAAUUUUCAGUUUAUGUUUUAGAUACUUCUAGUUCAAAGGGGAAGAGUCUAGGAUGAUUGCAGUGCACAAACCACAUUGUUCCAGAUUUUAAAUUAUUCUGAUGCACUUGGAUGUUUAUUAAUAUACUUUGAUUCACCAUGGUUUCUAUGAUGUUGUUUUGGAUAAUGGUUUUAUUAAUUUAAAAAUCAAAAUUUUUAGUCUUACUUUUUGGGACAUUACAAGUUUGUAUUUAGAGCCUUAGUUUGAGGGAUUCGGACUUACUCUCGGGUCUGUUUGAACUCAAACUGAGGGUUUGGUAGAAUUUUCAAAAAGAAAAGUUUUAUAAAAAGAAUUUUCUAAUAAAUGAAAAAGGGGUUUGGUGCAUGUAAUCGACCGAGCUAGAGUAAGUUUUCCCAAAAUACCCGUACAAGUUUUAUGAUAUGCUUUGAUUUGUAAAUUUGUGAAUCGCAUGUUAUUUAGGGCAAAGGAUCUGCUCAGGAAUUUCAUGAUAGAAUGCUUGGAGAGAUGCCUUUAUAUGUCUGAUGUAUGAGCUCGUAGACUUGCAUGCUAGUACUGAUCAAUAAAUGAUAGGAUGGCUUGUUUAGGUUAUGCUUAAUUCCGAUUACUCAAUGCUCAAAUGUUGCUUGCUUUGUGAUUUCUAGGAGUUCUCAUUAACUUCAACUAACUAAUAAGCAAAUAUGCUAAGUUACAGAUUAUUGAAACUAAAUAAUUUUAGAAGGUUAGGUUUUAACUCUAUUGUGUAUCUCUUGUUUGAGUCCAACCGUUGUAGUGUGAGACCUUUCAUUCGAAAAUUUAUCUAGUGUAGGUGAUGUGUAUAUUUAUUCAUGAAAUAGCUAGAGGGUGUUAGUGGGAGUUCCCUCUACAUCUGAUGGCGGAGAGUGGUGUGAUGAUUGCACUAGGAAAACCUAGGAAGAAAUUUAGUGUUGGGAGUCUUGUCUUGUUGUGGAUUAUAUAUGGAUAAGGAGUGACUUGGAGGACUCACAACAAUCCUUGAGGAAAGUAUGGAUACAUGUGGAAGAUAGUAUGGGCCCGUACUACCAGAAGCAGAGAAUCCAUACUCGAACCAAAGAGAGCUGCGAUGAUACCAGGAAGCUUAUAGAGUAUGAGACUCUUCGAUGUAUAUUUAUGCGUUUUCUGAUGAUUUGAAUGGUCAAUUUUCAGUAUGUUGACUCUUUGAAGAAGACCAGUUAGUGGUUCUGGUGCUGGUGAGGGUUCAGGCUUAGGUUUUGGAGCCGAACAGUUGGAUGAUUAGAUGUGGGAGUUCGUUUUGUCUGAGAUUACCCGCAACAUACUUAAGCAGACUCAUGUGAUCCUUGCUAGGGUCAGGGAGGGAAUUAUGGAGAUUUUUGGAUGAGCAUUUGAGCUCUUUUCAGUCUAAGAUGGUGGAAUUGAUGAGAGCUCGCACAUUGACCUUGCGUUAAUUCCGAGCAUGCGGGGUUCAAGAGUACUUCGAGGAGAAGGGCCCAAUCGCGAGCAGAUGGUGGUUAGUAGAUAUCGCUAAUGCCUUUCGUACUAGCAGUUUCCCCGUUGGGGGAAGAGGUCAGACUUGCUUCUUGCCUUCUGAAAGAGAGAGCUCAAGAUAUUUGGGAGGAGGUUGGGCGCUCUGUGGGUGAUGCAUCAGUUGAUAUGAUGACAUGAGAUGAUUUUGUGACUAGAUUUCAAGCUGAGUUUGCACCGGUGAUUGAGGUGCAACAAGUGGCAACGGAGUUCCAGGACCGUCACCAUACUAUUAAGAUGGUGGUUGAGAUCAUCGUGAUGUUCCGUGAGAGGGCUUUGUUGGUUCCACAGUAUGUGACAGAUGAAGAGAUGAAGAAGGCAAGAUACCCUGAGAUGUUGAGGAGCGAUAUUCGGUAGUUCAUGAACUGAUCCUGUUGCAAGACACUGGAGGGUAUGAUUGCAGGAAACAAAGAGAGAAGUAUUGAUCUAGAGAUGGAGAGGAAGAGGAAUCCGGAUCAGGGUCAGGGUUCAACAGGUUCGAGCAAGAGGACCAAUGUAUUUGAUUCGAGAUCGAGAGGCCAAUAGGGCUGGAGCCACUGUGGCAAGUGCAACAAGAUGCACGAUGGGGCGUGCAGGGUGGGUGGUUCUGGAUGCUUCAAGUGAAGCCAAAUGGGUCAUAUUAGCAGGGAUUACACUGCUACUACGAUCAUCACCACCCCGAUAUCUGAUAUGAUUUGCUUCCAUUGCAAUCAGAGGGGCCAUAAGAAGUCCAAUUAUCCAAGUUUAGCAGAAACAGGACUAGUAGUAGCACACGUUCUAGAGACUUUACAGAUUACUGAUGGCCUCCAGGGCAAGGCGGAUGCGCCUGUGGUGAGGAUUAGGGAUUUUCAGCUGCCAUCCGAGGAGGCUCGCAUAGCACCUGAUGUGGUAACCGGUACAUCUGAGCCCAAGGGCAAAGUCAAGGCUUGAUGGCGCGAUGUGCACUCUCUCAACGAUAUUUUUUGGGACAUUAUGAUGUUUUUAAAUAAUGUUGUAAUGCAUGUGGAUUUGAAAAAAAUUGUUUUGGGAUUUCAUGGUUUAUGGAAAUGUGUUUGAUUAAUUAAUAAUGAAAACUUUGAAAAUUUGGGUC